UAUAUAUGUAUAGUAGGCACUGCAUGACCGAUUGGUUAAGAAGUUCGCUUCUCAUUCAUGAUGUUCUGGUUUCGAUUCGAACUUGCUGCGAGACAUUCGUCACUAUAUUGUCUCUCGAGUCGAGGUUAUAUAGUGAAAUGGAAACUGCGUAGGAGCCCGUUAAAUGGAUUGUAUCUGAUAUUCAAAGGCCCAGCCCUAUCCUACUGAUUGCGCCUGAGAAUUACAAUUAAGGUACAUGUGUCUUCGGAAUACUCAGCCACUUGCAGCAAUCGAACAACUGGACAUUCAUGGUGGAAAAUAAAUAAAUUUUAUUUUCCAUAUAUAUAUAUAUAAAUAUAUAAAUAAAUAUAUAUAUAUAAAUGCGUGUAUGUGUGUGUAUGUAUACAUAUGCACACAGACACAUAUAUAUAUAUACACUCACACAUAAGUAUGUAUAUAUGCAUAUAUAUAUAUAUAUGUAUAUAUAUAUAUAUAAUGUGUAAGAGAGGGAAGGAGCAUUCCUGCUGUGUUGUUCAAACAGCAAACUUCAAACUUCAAGAACAGAAAAAAUAUGUAUGGAAAGCAUUUAUGAUAUAACUUUUCGUGAGGCGCCAUUCGAGUUUUUAUUUUACAUAACUAGGCUUUCUAUUUUGUUUUUCUUCCCUCUACAAUAGAUUUGUGUUUUCCAAUAGGCAGAAUUGAUUAAUUUUAUUAAUCAAUUCAGUUUUUGUUUCAGAAAUAUCAAAAUACACCAGCAGCUUAUACAUGCACACACACACACACACACACACACACACACACACACACAGACACACACAGACACAGACACACACACACACACACACACACACAGACACACACAGACACACACACACACACACACACACGCACGCACACAAACAUACACACACACAGUUAGUGUAAUACUGCGAUAUUCAAUGAUUUGGAUCACAAAAAACAAAAAAUCUUAAAAUUCAGGAUUUUGUUUUCACGUUCAGCCGAUAGUGAAAAUUGCUUGAUAAGAAUGAAAAAGGAAUUUCAAAUAGUUGCUGACUGUGCAAAAACGAAAUAAGAACAAAAAAUUUUUCAAACUCUUCCAUAUUUGAAAGGAAAAAACGGAUAACUUACAAAACGUAUUUUGUCAGUUUAUUUAUCAGAUUCGUUGUGGUACGGUUAGAUUUCGUGUUAGAGUUACCUAAAUAGAAUUAUAUAUUGUUCGACAUAUCCCGUUUCCUUUUUUUUUCAUAGGAGACACGUAUGAAGGUCACAACAAGCCAAUUCUUCUCUUCUAAAAUGCAAGGCCUUUUGUACAAAAGGAACGAUUUAAAGAGCGUUAGUAACUUACCUUUUAAAUAUAUUUUCCCCUGAUAUGAAGCAUUGGUUAUUCGUUUCCAGUAGGUUAAAAAUAGGGAAUGGGAUAGUUUGGAAGAAUUGGUAGUGCAGCAUACAAAAUGCCAAAUGGUAUUUAUUUACGCCUCUUAACGUUUUGAUUUCGAAUCUUAACUACUUAGUUUUUGAUCCUUCAGGAGUCAAUAAAAUAAGUACCUGUUAUGAACUAUGGUGUUCUUUAUUGACCCUAAAACAUUCCCCGCUAAAAUUUUAGAAUUAAUAUGAUUAAAACCGCGAGGAUUGUGGAAGAUGAGAUAAAGUUCAUAGAGAACCAAAGAGGACUGGGGUGUUUUUAUUCUCAAUUUCACCUUGCUAACACUCUUAAGAAAGAGGCAUUUUAAUUACGAUAUUUUUUUUUACUUACCCACAUCCAUUGAAUUAAGCUAAGGUUUACCAAUAGAUUUUCAUCAAACCAAGUAUGGUUAAAAUAUUUACAGCAACUUCGAUGAUAUUGAUUUCUUUGCCAGGCACAAGAUCAAUUUUUAAAAAUAACAUAUUGGAUGGCAUAAAAGACACGUAGGCAUGUAAGACGCACUCCAAUUUCAGUAGCGCAUAUACCGGAAAAUGAUUUUGGUGCAUUAAAUCAUAUAGGAUCCCGGGCAGGUUUUUGAGACAUAUUUUGGCGGGGUGGGGAUGCGUCUUACAUGUAAUUAAAUACAGUAUUAGUAUUUAAAUGAUAUCAAUUUUAAAAAUUACCCUCCAUAAGGGAGAGAGAAACCGGAAGUGUAAUGGAUAAUUGCAUGUCUUUUCCAAACAUCUAUUGACGUAAAUGAUCGAAUUUGUUAUUGCUGUUGUUGUUUAGCCACAGGUCAACUCUGAUCGAACAGAUAUAUAAUCGAAAGCAUUCCAGCAAUGACUAUCCCAUCUUAUUAGGUAUAUACUAGAUAAAAUUACCUGUGUCAGUUCCUUUUGUAAUACGUAGGAUGUGUUUUGAGGGAGAUUUCUAGCGAGUUGAGAAACCACGUCGAGGUUUCCUCGUUGUCUCGGCUUAACGGAGUAUACUUCUUUCUCCAUUUAGUUCGCCCUAUCUUCAAACGGAAUGUGUUAAAGAUCUCUUAAAUAAAAAAUGCUGAAUCAAGUAUAAAAAAAUUCUAUUUUGAAGUCCUGUUUCUGAAGACAUAUCCUGGAAUAAAAUUACCUAAGAGACCAAGAAGCCGACAACCAAUUCUUUCUUCUUUUCUUGUUGAGAGAAGAUAGCAUUUUAAUUAAGAUAGUUUUUGUAUAUUUUUAACUUAGUUUCCCCGUAGAAUUAAGCUAAGAUAUACCAAUAGAUUUUGAAGUAUAAAAACAAAUAACAAGAAAGAUAUCGAAGAAAGAGUACUGUUGACACUGAAAUAAAAUCUGGCUGCGUGCCACAACAACUUAAAAUAACUCUGAUUCACGUGUAGCUAAGACGAAAGUAUCUGGCUGUAAAAGUGAAGGAUGCAAUUUAAUAAAUCGUUAAAUAUAUGUUUAGCCGCAGCUAGGUAAAUUAUUGGUAGUUAGGAAAUAGCCAUUGCGCUGCUUGUAUGUAUGUUAAUUUGUAAUAUCAGCGCUUGUGACACUAAUGGUAGGGUAGAAGCAACAGGCGAGUUUGAAAUAGCCAACUACUUAUAAAUUAGAUGUUUUCUUUGUUUUUGAUUUUUCCAUGACAUUUUCUAGUCAUCUAUCCCAACUCCCUAUUAAAUAAAUAUGAUGUGCGUGCGUGCGCGCGCGCGCGCGCGUGUGUGUAUAUGUGUGUGUGUGUGUGUGUGUGUGUGUGUGUGUAUGUGUGCGUGUAUGUGUGCAGGCGUCCACAUGUAUACGCACGUGUGCGCAUGCUGGUUGGUAAAACGUAAAUGAAUUCUCAACCUUAUUUUCGAGAUUGUUUCAGCUGAAAGAGAAGUCUGGUAUUACGUGCCAACAUCCCAAAUCUAUUAAUGCAUUUCAAGAUCGGAAGAGCGUAGUG
rnacentral:lncRNA from 1 species